rnacentral:rRNA from 1 species
UACGUAGGGGGCAAGCGUUGUCCGGAAUCAUGGGGCGUAAAGCGCGUGUAGGCGGCUGACUAAGGCCGCUCUGAAAGCCCGGGGCUCAACCCCGGGAGGCGGGUGGAUACUGGUCAGCUCGAGUCCGGAAGAGGAGUGUGGAAUUCCUGGUGUAGCGGUGAAAUGCGCAGAUAUCAGGAGGAACACCAAUGGCGAAGGCCGCACUCUGGGACGGUACUGACGCUGAGACGCGAAAGCGUGGGGAGCAAACAGG